ACUAUCAAAGUAUCUAUACUAUAUAUCUAUAGUAAGAUAAUUUUAUUUAUAAAUAUUUAUUUUUUAUUAUAUAUAUAGUAUUUUAUUUUUAUAUAGAAAUAUUAUUAUAUAAUAUUUUAUUUAUAAAAUUGUAAUUAUUUAUUAAUAUUUUUAAAUAUAUAACUCUUAUAUAUUUAUGUAAUAUAUGUUAUUAUAAUUUUAAAUAUAUUUAAUCUAUAAAUAAUAAUAAUAAAUAUAGUAUAAUGAUUAUUAUAAAUUAAUAAUAUAUAUAAUAAAAAAUAUAUUAAAUAGUUUUUUAUUUAGUUGUUUAGAAAAUUUUAUUUUUUUCUACAAAUAAAAAACUAAACGACAUAAAAAAAAUUUCCACCAAAAAAUUUUUAUUUUUCUCUACAAUUUUACGUGAAAUAAAACACACCGUAAAAUUAAAUUUACAAAAAGCGACGAAGAAGAAUACCAUGUUUGCUCCCUACCACAAAAACAUGCGAAAACCAAGUCUUUUUUUUAUUAUUUCACUCUCACAAGCCACAAACAAAAUGAAAAGUAGGAUUAGGAAAGAGAGAUAAGGAAAAGCAAAUCGGGUGAGUGUGUCGUGAGCCAACGAUUUCCAUUCUGUUGCUCUGCUGCACAGCUAGCUGGAUUCGGCCAUGGCGACGGUGCCUUCGUCUCUUUCCUGCACCCUCCGCACCUCCUUCCUCCUCUCCUCUCACCCUCCGGCUAAGCUCUCCUCCGUCCCCCUCCUCAAAUCCCGACGCCCCACUCCGCCCUCUUCCUACCCCCGCGUAAGAGCCCUCGAUCUCGACCAGAACACGGUACCUUCUCUCUCUCUCUCUCUCUCUCUCUCUCUCUCUGUAAUUUCCAAUGUAUGUUUCCUAUGUGGGAUCGAUGAUUGUACCUGAGAAACGCCCCCUUAGUUUCCCUUGCCUUACCUUAAAAUGACAGCUCGUGGCCAUCUCCGUCGGAGUCGUCAGCGUUGCCGUGGGCAUCGGGAUUCCCGUGUUCUACGAGACCCAGAUCGACAAUGCUGUACCAAUUCCCUUCCCCCUCUUCUCUCUCUCUAUUAGGGGUUUCUCUCUAUAUUAGGGCUUUCUAUGGGUUUUUUCUUUUUUUUUUUUUUUUUGUAGGGGCGGGCAAAUUACAUUCUUGUGUAUGCGCAGGCUAAGCGGGAGAACACGCAGCCGUGCUUCCCGUGCAAUGGCACCGGUGCGCGUAAGUUGCUCCACCCAUCACUCCCCCCUCCUGUUGGUUUCUUCUUCAUAUGAACGGUUGUUCUCUUCCCUGCCUGUUGCUUAUAAUUAGUUUGCUGGAUAGUUAGUACUACCGUAAAGGCGUGUAAACACAAAUGCAGUGAUAAUGAUUGUAACUUAUUCUGAAUUUUGGUGCAAUUUGUUCCAAGUCGAUGAAGUAAUAGUUUAUAAAUGAAAAAAAACAAAAAUGGAAGAUUUGGGCCGCUCUGUCGCAGUUCGAAAAACAGAACAUAACCUCCUGGGGAGUGGGGAGAAUCAGCUGCAAAAUGGGACACUUUUAUAUCACCAAUCAUCUCUUUAUUGUAAACUUCAAGUUUGUCAGUUACGUUUUUCAACGCCUCAUUAGCAAUAUUUUUGCGUAUUUUGAUACUUUUGAGAUUCAAAGUCGGCUUUCGAAACUAGCGAAAGGUUCAUAGUAAGAGCUCUGUUUGCUGAGCCGCGAGUAGAGACUCAAAAUUGAAUUGGAAAUAUAUAUUGCUUUUGUUUUUGCAGAGACGUGUAGAUUGUGCACGGGCAAAGGCAGUGUAACUGUAGUGCUUGGCGGAGGUGAGACAGAGGUGUCGCAAUGUAUCAACUGCGAAGGUGCUGGCUCCUUGACUUGCACCACAUGUCAAGGCACUGGAAUCCAACCGCGCUAUCUCGACCGCAGGUAAUAACAUUACAUUAUUUAUAACAUGUUUUUUUUUGUCUGAGUAAUGAUCGAUGCUGUAAGAGCUAUGCUGUAAGAGCUGUUAAUUUUCCAAUCAUUUUAGAGUAAAUUGUGUUGGGGGGUCCCCAACCUCUCAAUUGGUACAGUGAGAUCUCUAACCUUUUCAUUCCUCACAAUCGUAACCGUUUUGUUACAUUUCUUUUCUUGUGUUAAAUUAAAUGAAAAUGCCCAAAUACUUGGACAUUUCAUAAGUCCAAAAAUCGCUUCCGCAAGAGCGUGAUGCGGCUAUGCGGAGCGGUCGAUAUUUCUGUCCAAUUUAAACCAAAAGGAUGGGUAGGAUUGCAACAAAUGCAAGAAUCAGGGACCUAACUGUAUACAUGUACCGAACUUCAUAGUUGGGGGAUCAACUGAAACUAUUGCAGAUGGCUGGUGAGACAUUCCUUUUUGUUCUUACCUAAAAUUGUAGAUGGAUUACAACUUAAUGAUAUAGCUAAAAUCUAUCAUUUAUUAGCUCUAAAAUUAGAAUGUAAUGGUAGCCUUAUUCUUUGAAUUCACUUAACAGGGAGUUCAAGGAUGAUGAUUGAAGCCUUUCCCUCUUGACUGAUGUCCUGAAUAGAGAGACUGAAUAUGUUUUUCAUGUGGGCCCAUGGGAUGUGAAGCAAACAUGGAAAGGGGUCCUCUACUAAAUAAGGAAUAUCAUAUUUUAGGAUCGUCUUAAAUCAUUCAUUUUUUGGCACGAAUGUAAAGAUACUGAGUUGGUGUUUCAGUAGAUAUUUAUUUGUUUUGUAUUGCUGCUUGAAUUUUAAUGACCUGUUCUGUGGUACAACCUUAAGACAUACUAAAUGAGUAAGCAAUGUAUUUGCAUAUUGCUGGGGUAAGUGAUGUAUGUGAUCAUUUAACAGUAAACUCAUUUAUGCUUUCUACACCAUUUUACUAAGCAUUUUAAUUGGCUGGUUACAAAUUUUCAAGUAUAUUAUUUAAUGUACGAGUAUGUAAUUAUAGUUAGUAUCUAGAGAGAACUACUAAGAAAGCGCCCUCGAUGUGUAAGGUUAUAGAAGCUUGGUCGGAAAGGAAUAAGAUAUUUGACAUUCACAUCUUUUUAGAAUAAGAUAAAUCUCAAGGCAAGUGAAAUACACUAUGCAACCUAAUUAUAGUUUUCAAGACCUUCCAAUGAGUCAAAUUCCUUGCAAUCACCAAAAAAAACCUUACAAGUGCAUUAGUUCACAUGGCAUAAACUGUACUGGCAUUCCAGACAACUAAUAUGAGUGGUGCUUCUUGUGGAAGCACUACAAUUAUCCACCAAACAACAACUACUCUGCAAAAGCACCAAAUUAAAGCAUUUGAGGGGAAAAAAAUAUAUAUCUUAUUUCAGCUUCUGUAUGCAACAGAAAUUCUAUACUAAUUUGUUUGCCACAUGCUCGAACGAAAAAGGCCACAACUACAAGCGAAAUAGCACCCAUUACUAGCCUAUGUGUCAUAUUGCUGUCAAGUACAUAGCACAGUUAAUCCAACCCCAGUUUAUAAACCCAAUACGUGUAUUGGACUGUGAUGAACGACACAGUAACUUAAAAUAAGAAGCUGCACACAGAAGAUGAAGACAUAUGGAAGGACAAUAAAUAGGAGCUUCUUCAAAAGUACUUAUCAAGUAAAGACCUUCCGAGAAGCACCUACUUUUCCAUUAAAAUCUGCUCACUUAUUGUCCACAGCAGUAGAAGCACAAGUGUCGCUUUACUUGGUAGUUCCAACAUUUUGUUCAUCGGUUUGAAACAUUAGAAAGAUCAGGCUUAACUAUCAGAAACAUCAAAGAUCUACAUAAGAAUCACAUUCAAGUAUUCAUAAUCCACAUGCUAAUCAAGUACAUGGAAGAAAAGUUUUCAUCACAAACUCCCAAAACUCAGUUUGUACAGGUUCAGUAACAAUUCUUGGUCUUGGCGUUCCUAGUACUAGAGCAUCCUAUACAGCAGCUAUAAGUACAGAAUACAGAAAACCAACUGGUGACUUAACACACUAAUUAAUUCUUUUUUAUUAACUUUACUAAUUCAGGAAAACCUCAAUAAUGCGAGAAUGGUAGUUUGAUAAUUUUCAGCAGCAGGAGAAUUCCGAUUUAACUCCCAAUAUAAUACUCACCACGAAUGUAAGACCCCCAAAAAAAAGGAAGAGGAAAAGCAAUAUCAAGUAGGAAAACCUCACAAACCAAAACUCUCAAUUCAGCAGCACAUACAAGCUAUGGCACACUACCAGUGUGAGCAGCUGCGUCUUUCUGAGUUUUACACCUGCAACAAAAGAAAUAGCUUUACUUACCAAGAGAUGAGCAUAUUCAAAUGGCUAUCCUUGCAUGGUACGGUAUAUGCAAUAUAGACCAAUUCAAUUGUCCCUCUAUUUCAUAUUAGUUAAAAAUAAAAAAUAAAAAAAAUUCUGCCAGUUGGUACUAAUCCUAGUAUCUUUGAUUGUUCAAAUACUAUCAUAUGUCAACUAUUUUAUUAAGAGACCAAAUUAAACACAUCAUAAGCCCAGUCUGAAGAUAAUACUCAUACCUAUUGCAAUAUGUUCGCGAUGCAAAAUUGUGAUUGUUGCAAUUACUGCACAUCCAGUCCCCAUCACGCCAUUGUUUCGCACUGAUAAACAGAAAAAUUAUUUAGUAGGGAUCACCAUUCAAUAUUUUCAAAAUGAGAAGAAAAUCUUUUAAGGAUAGAAAGGUUCUUUCUGAAAAGUGUCACAAGUGGCUAUACAUACAAUACAGAAAAUUGAAAUCCUGGUGUUGCAAAAUGGGAUGUCCGACGAAUUUACCACAAAUUAAUCAGGAAAAGUGGUUUGAAGAUACAUAGAAUUCUUUUUUGUACAUAAAUGAAAAAGAAUAUGCAACAUAUGUAUUGGAUAUAUAUAUAAGAUUAAUAAAUAUUUAAGGGCUACAAAAUGUAUAUAUUAUGGAAAUGACAAAUGACAUUUUAGACAUCAAUUAUUAACAGAAUGCCAUAUACAAAUUCUCAUGAUGCAUUAUUGCAACUGUGCAAGCCUAUAUACUUACAAGAUAAAAGAGGAUUGAAAGCAUGCCAUUCACAUAUGCAACUAAGAAUCCACAAGAAUGCAUAUAGGCAUUUAUACUUGUGUUUUUAUGUCUAUCACUCUAUUGCAUGCAGCAGAUACCAUAACAGCAUAAGCACACGGAUAGACAUAAUUAUAUUAGAAGAAUAUCAUAAAUACAAAAAGAUUGGCAUACCCUUUUCCUAUGAGUGCAGGCAAUGUUGCAACUUGUCGAGACUGUUGGUUUACUUGUAUAGAUGGCACUGUUGCUGAGUUUUCAUUAGCCUUGGGAUAAAUCCCCGGUGUCUGAUCACUGUUGGAUCCGGCUGAAUUCUUGAAAUCCUAAAAAUGAAAACAGCAUUGUAAGAGUUUUCCAAACUGCAGAAUAAAUGAAUAAUAUAAAUAGAAAAAAUAGCAAGUCGAAUUAUACCGAAAACUGGCGAUUUGCAUGCCCUGCAUUUAGCCUUUUAUUAUCCCAAUCAUUGAUGAACUCUUCAGGCGCCAAUCUUUUCGUACCCAAUGCUGAAAAAGAAAAAAGGAAUAGGUUAGUAAGCUUCAAAAUAAAUCAUUAUGCAGGAUGGUGGCAAGAACUUGUAGUAAUAUGUGAAUAAAUAAGCUAACUAACAAUAAGGGCUUGUUUGGUUCAAGGGUGGAAUUGAAAUGGAUAAUGGAAUGGGAAUGAAUUGGAAUGGUAAUUGGAAUGGCCCACUCCCCCAAGACGUUUAGUUUAUUUGUGGAUUGGGAAUUGGAAUGAGUUAUUCACAUUUCAUUGUUUGGUUCGUAUAAACUAAAAAAAUUAUAGAAUACUAUAAUACUAAUUUUACUCUCAAAUAUAAAUUUAUAUUUUUUAAAAUUUAUGAAAAAUAUAAUACUAUUCUCUAAUAAGUUUUCCAAAAAAAAUAUCAAAUUUAUUUUUAAAAUUUUUUAUUGAUGUGGGUUAGGAAUAGUGUUUUGAGAAAGGCUUUUUUUUCUUGAUGAGAAAGGGGUGAAGAGAAGGAGGGUGAGAUGGUCACAUAGGCUUCGAGAAGUUAGUGGGCUUCCGGAAUGAAAUCUCAAUCCGGGCUAGAAGACCGGAAUCAAGUUGAAGGCUAAUGGGCCAUUCUCAUUCCAGUCCGGAAUAGGAAUCCCAAACCGAUUCAUGCGAACCAAACAAAAUUAACCGGAUUUGAUCAAACCGAUUCCCAUUCCAUACCCAAAAUGGAUGAACCAAACAAGCCCUAAGAAUUAACUAGCAAUAUGUUCGUGAAUAUAUAUAUAUAUAUCAUCCUCUAGUUACAUGUAAAAGAAACACUCCAACUGUUCUUCAUCAAAGAAAGCAAGGCUACACCAAUCACCAAUGCAUCAGAAAUACCGCAUAUUUCUAUUCAUUCCAUAAAUUACUAGGAUCUGCCAGCACUAAUUUAUAGAAAUCAUCUAAGAAUACUAUAAAAUAAAGUCCACUAGGAUAAGCAGUGAGUCAAUAACAUAUCACUAGAAAAGAAAAGGUUAUGAUGACAACAGAAUAUUAGAAAUCUGCUCAAGCACAUGUGUACUGCCUUUUGAAGUGACUUUGGAGCAUAUGAAAGAUGAUAAAAAUCACCCCAUAUGUUCAAUGAAAAUAAAAUAACAUAGCAUAAAUGUUCAAUAGAUUACAAUAUAUGUUCAAUUGAUUAUGAUAUAUGAUGAAACAAAAUGCUUUCCACGGAGCAGGCCAGUAUAUAAGACUCACACAACUGCUACAACAAAAGAAGUGUCAUCUGUGAGCAUUCACAGCACCUAGAGAGGUUGCUCCUAUGGUCUUAAAAGCUUUGUAUAGUUUAUUACAAGGUCUUCAAUUUCGCCUCGACCAUCAAAGCAAUCAGCAAUCCGUUGUCGGAUUAGUUUACAAGUCACAAUCUUAAAACAGCUAGCUAGAUCAAGAUCUUUUCAUGAAUCUCACCCAAAAGACCCAAAAACAAUUUCAAGCGUGCAGUAAGAACAAAGCAUUCAAGUGAGAUCAGCUGCACAGGAAUCAGGCAGAAGCAAAAUGGGAACAAAAUCAGCAGUUCCAAAUAAGAACCUCAAAGCAGAAAAUUACACAGCGAACCAGAAGUGGAAGAAGUUAGAUGACAUAUAUUACUUGGAAAAAUAUCUGAAGCCAUUGUAUUCAUUGUCGUAGAGGGUGCAGCAGAUGGUAUAGGCGCAUUGCAUUCUUUACACUGCCCAAAGAGAAUAUGAAUCAGGAUAUAUGACCAACAUUAUUUGAAGAUAAGAAGAUUAAUGUUUGUUAACUAAAAGGAAAAUGAUAAUGUAGUUUAGGCUUCUUAACAUCUUACCCUAGCUAACUCCUACAUAUCCAAGUGUUAAGCUCUCAAAGGUAGAGCCCUCCAGACAGAAGUACAAGGUGUAGGCACAUGCAUGCAUGCUAUGUGAACCGAUUUUCAGAUACUAAGACUCUUAUUCGAAUACAGACCAGAUAUACACAAUAACGGUAGCUUUCCUUGUUCAUUAAUUAGAAAUAACCCAAGUAAAUGCUAAGAAUAAAGAAAGUACAUCACACUUACUAUGUAGGAACUUAUUCCACAUUAGUCCUUGAAUUCAUUAAGUGAGAAAUACUCAUUCUGUAAAGUUCACCAUGGUUCACUAUAGUAAUUAAUGCUUCAGUCUACUUGGCCUUAUUUUCUUCUAAUAAUUAGCUGAGAUGCCAACAUAUAGGACUGAUUAGACAAUUUUAAGUUUUUUGUAAAGUUCUAACUUGUAAAUAUCAAACCGGUAAGGUCCUAUAUAUUAAAAUUAGAUUAGCCUCUUUAGUCCAAUCACACAACAAAAUUGACAGUGUUUUCUGGAAUGGAGUAAAUAUUAUAACACUCCAUAUACUGCAAACCAAAAAAGUUGAUUGUAAUCUUAUUAUGUCCAUAAUUCUCUAUCUUCUUCUUUUUGUAUUACUAAAAUGCGAAAAAAUAAAAAAAAAAAAAAAGAUAAAUAAAUGAAGAGAAACCACCUCAGUGCGCGAUGAAUAGUUAUGGAAACCGCAUUUGCAUAUCCAAUCACCGUCACGCCAGCCGUUCAGAACCGUAGGAAGUUGAUUUCUGUUACCAGAAGAGGAAAACCCCGCACUACUGCUACUUCCACUGAAUGUCCAAUCAGGAGUAGAUUGAAGCCCAUAUCUACUAAACCCGCCAUACAACCAAUUAGGGUUUUGUUGUAGAAGUGACUGCUGUAGAGCCAAGUAAUUCAUCUUCAACCCUGCUAAUUCCUGUGCUGAUCUGGCAAAAUAAUGUGCAUAAUUUGCUGGCAGAGAUAAUCCAUGCAUUGCAAUUGCUGGGAGAGCCGACUCCUCCUUUGGCUGGCCACACUUUUUGCACUCCUUUCUGGACGCAUAAUUGUUGUUACUGCAACCUAUACAUCCCAACCAAAUAUGCAACCACCGAAGUAAUACGCAACACCAACCAGUUAUUCCAAAACAUAACACACACACGCACACACACACGCACCCAAGUGCGCAUGCGCACACACUCAAUUCAACUUGUUCAAAUAUUGUAAAGCAGAACAGACACUCUAUUCAACUUGUUCAAAUAGUGUAAUGCAGCUUCUAAGCCUGCAUAUCUAUUAGGUUUAUUGCAUAUAUAAAACAGCUAAUAUGCAAAACUGUGCAAAUACCCAGCGAAGUUGGUAUUUGCAUGCAAAACUGUGCAAAUACGCAGCGAAGUUGUUAAAACUUUGCUUAUUUCGCACAUACACAUGCCAGGGGUAUAUACGCACAUAAGGUUUUUGCCCAUAAACCCUGGCAGGGUUAUUAGUGACGAUAAAUAAAUUAAAUGAACAAAAUGUCAGGGGCACCAAUGAUAAUUAAUGCAAGCAACUGUGGAAGCCAAACUGUUCAAAAAAAGGUAUCAUAAACUAGAAAGUACAAAUGAUAUAGAGCAAUGGAAAAUGUGAAUACUGCCUAUAUGUACAUAGGCUAUCGUAUAAGGCACUACCGCUAUAAACUAUAAUAUGAAUAUUUGUUGAAGGUGCAGAAAGAACAAGCUAUCUUGGUCAACUAGCAUGUUAAAAUUAUCAAUGUAUAUUGGCUCAGAUUAUCCUUUUUAAUGCAGUUACCUUCCUCCUAUAUUACUUUCGAAACUGGAAAAUUUAUUUUACGCAGUUAUAUUCUAGCAUAAAGAACUACAAAAUUUGAUAUGAAACUAGUUUUCUGAAACACUUUGCUUAACCAAUCCUAUUGCAGCUUUUUGCUUUGAUUCUUUAUUAGUGUACAAAAUUGUGUUUAAAUUGAAGAUACUAUAAUUUAAUAUAUCAAAAGCAGUUCCUGUGAUUACCACGCAGUUGAGUGAAACUAUUAAAACUAUUCCCGGGUCAUAUCCUAUGAGAUUGAGCUAUUAGAAAAGACAAACGAAAUAAAGUAGAAUAUACAUAAGCCAUUUUGAAAUGCACCUUCAACUUUAUCUUCUGAGCUUGACAAACCCUUAACAUUUAGUCAUUUUAUUCGAUUCAUUUUCCUACAUUAGAUCAAAAUUUUGUUAAAAUUCACAGCUCCAUUAUCUGUAAGUCAUUAAUUGUUUGCACAAUUCAUAGUUCACCCUUUCAUGCAUAAAAAACAUUCAAAACAAUUAAAUUCAAAAAAAAUCAUUGUUAAAAUAAACAAAUCCUCAAUAUAAUUGAUAGAUGUAAUUUAAACAAAAAUAAUCAAAAGAAAAAUAAGUCGAGGGCCUAGUUCCAAAUUUGAGGGUGUCCCAUACAUUUCCUUCAGAUUUUCGUUAUGGAACAGUGAAAAGCAAGCGUGGUUUCGAAUCUUUCGAUCAGAAACAAAACUUCUAGGGCAUCAAGCACGUCAAAACCAACAUCGACACGAAUUCUUCACAAUCGAAGGUAAACAAAGCGUCAAUACGAUCGAGAUCACAAAAUCUCACCAUUCUUUCAAAACCUAAACCCUCCGACGAAACAUCUAGGGCACAAAACACGUCAAAACCAACAUCGAUACGCAUUUUCCACGAUCAAAAGCAACGAUUAGAGUUUCGAAGAGAAUACUGGGGUUAGGGUUAGGGUUUUGAGAUUACCGGCGCAGAUCCAGUCGCCGAUGCGGGGUAGCCACUUGGAGUCGCGGGGGGUGUGGGCGUCGACGAGAAGGCGCGGCUGCUUGCAGCGGUUGCAGAGGGAGCGGAAGGCGUAGUUGCGGUUGCCGCACCCCCCACAGUCCCAGUCCCCCUCCCGCCCCAACCCUCCCUCCCCCGCCAUCUCCACCUCCUCUGCACCCCUUCCCCCGCGGCCGAAGCGGACGAUGCCGCUUCUGCUUCCGCUUCUGCGAGAAGCGGCUUUUGUGCUUCUCGAUCAAACCCUAGGCUCUGAGAGAGAGAGAGAGAGAGAGAGAGAGAGAGAGAGAGAGAGAGGGAAGAGGGGGAGGAGAGGAGCCGUGGAGGGGCAAGGGGGAGAGAGAGAGAGAGAGAGAGAGAGAGAGGAACCCUUACAUGCAUAUAAAGCAACCGCAGGUGGAGGGGAGGGAACUAUUCGGGAAGUAUAUUCUCGCUCGGGCUUUGUCGGAUACGGUUGUGGGAGAAGAGAGAGAGAGAGAGAGAGAGGUGUGAUUACUCGCGGAGGGAGUUUAAAGAGACAACUACAGCUAAAUGGUUCCACCCAGCCUAUAAAUAAAUAAGUAAAUUUUCCCAAAAAUCAAACUAAUAAAUAUUUUUAUUAAUUUUAUUUAAAAUAAUAUGAAAAAAAAUAAAUUUAGUGAUAAUCACGUCAAGUGGAAUCUAAUUGUACAAAUAUCAAGUUUUGUUGUAUUGGUUUUACAUUGUCUUUCUUUUAUCACUCUUAUACAUAACUGAGUGAUUGUUACUUUAUAAAAAAGAAAAGUUGAAUAACUAAUUUGGCUAAAACUGAUAAAGUUGAAAAUAGUUGUAAUCAACAAAAAUUCCAUACUUCAUAAAACAUUCACCAGCAAUUCAAUAACAAAAGCAUUAACAUAAAACACUGAAAAUACCCAAAAAAAGGGAAAAAAAUGUCUGGUAUUAUUUACAAUUUUAUUAUUUUUAAGAUAACAAAAGUAAAAACAUGGCAAGUAACUCAUUUGACAAGUACUCAAACUAUGUUUAAUAAUAAUCUUCAUAGUUUUCUUAUAUUUUGCUACCCAACUGAGGCCCAGUGGGCUCCGAACGAUUGCAAAUUAUGGCCCAAAAUCUCAAAUCAAGGCCCAAAGCCUACUCACCGGGCCGGGCUCGAUAUAACAGGAGUAGACACAUUUAAUCAACAACAAAUUAAGCUGUGAUUUCACACAAAUAAUAAUAAUAGUAGAUAGUAGAUAAAGUUGAUUUGAAAAAAUAAAGUAAAAUAAAACUCAAUCAGAAAUAUAACAGCAUCUAAUCUGAACUUUAAUUAUGCUAUGCUAAUCUUACAUGCAAAAUUACAGGAAUGUAACUGAAAUUAAAUGGAGAGAAACUUUUACUAUAAUUAUCAAAAAUUAUAGUAAAAGUUUCCACCCAAUUAAUAAGUGAUAGUGGAUCAGAAAGUUGGCGUGAGUGAGAUGCAAUUAAACAAUAUCUUAAAAGAAAAGAAUUAAGAUUUUUUUUUCUUGAAAAAAACUUGUAGAAUAUUAAACUAAUUAUAUGUCAUAUAGAAAAGGUCGUGCAUGCGUGUGCCUCUAUCCAUAAUGCAAACAUUUUACUAUAAUGAAUACUUAUUGUAAUUAUAAUUAAUUCUCUCAGCCAACGAUCUCUCUGAAACUUAAAGUUGAAGGGAUCGAUAAAUGUAUGAUCGAUAUGAAUAAGUAAAUUAUUAUUGAAAGCGACGAGAUAUAUUAAAGUUAGAUUCAAAUUGUCAAUAGCAAAGAUACAAAAUAUGCCUUAGCUAAUUAAGAGACUUAACUAAAGAAAAAAAGAAAAAAAAUAUUAAACCACAGUAUGGCCCACUCACUGCAUUUGUUGUAGCAGGUUCAUCACCAACUAAUUAGUUAGCUCACUAUCACCUCACCCAAUAAAAAAAAAUAGAAACCAAAUGCAAAAAAACUAAUAGUAAAUAAUAAAUAAAUGAAUAGUGGGAUUUUGGCAUGCAAAAAAAAAAAAAAAAAAUACGAUGUUGAGAUUCUAAUAUAAAAUUUUAGAUUAGAGACAUAUAAUUUAUCAAACUAUAUUAAUAGAAAAAUUAUUAUUAAGGAACUCUUCAAUAAAAUUGAGCUUAAUUUUUUUUUUUUUUUUCUGAACGUUGUUGCCACGUCAGGAUACAGCAAAGGGGAAGGGCGGAGACAAAUAUCCGAUAUCCGUACAAUGAUUCGUUCCAGGGGGCCGGGUGGUACUCCGUGUAACCGUCACAUAUCACAUCUAUUCGCCACGUAUGAUAAUUUCGCAUGGACCCGGUCCACCACGUCAGCCAAGAUCUGUUAAAUUUUUUUUAAUAAAAAAAAGGGUUCUUCGUAGAAACUUGUUAUUGGAACGGAUUAUUAUCAUAGUUAGUUAAAGAUAUGUACCGUGAUUUGUCAUCUGUUCCAUUUUGCUUUCAAAAAAGUACAACUUUUUUUUUAAAAAAAUUAUAUGCGUUANAUAUAUAUAUAUAUAUAUAUAUAUAUAUAUAUAUAUAUAUAUAUAUAUAUAUAGUAAAAGCUAGUUUAAAUAAAUAUACAAGGAACUAAAAAUAAGCAAAAGCAAUAUAAAAAAAAAGAGUUAAUUGCAUAUAGAUUUCUGUAAAUGCAGAAAUUAUAAAUAUAGUCGUACAAAGUUUAAUUUUUAUAUGUUAUUCCUAUAAAAGUGCUGAUAUUUUCGAAUAUUUCAAUGCCUUUAGAAUAUGUUGAAAAAAUUUACUUAAUCAUAGAUUAGUACUUUAAUCAUGUUUAGUUAAUAAGAUAAAAAAUAUAUUUGUAAUGGAAAAAAAGUCAUUUUAUCAGAGGAAUAUAUUUGAAAAUGUUAGAACUUUUGUAGAAAUAUAUAAUUUAAUUUAUUAUAUUUAUAGGAAUAUAUUUAUAAUUUAUUAUAUUCGUAGAAAUCUAUAUAAAAUUAACCUAAAAAAAUCUAAAUAGUAAUUUAUAAUAAAAGCCAUUUUUUUUUUUGUGAAAUAAAUUUUUUUAUUAAUUAAACUUUUAUUAUUAUUCCCGAGUGCGACGUGCCGUGAAAAAUAUUUAAUUCAAAUAAAAAACAGGUGGGAGAAAGAAAAAUAAAAAUAAAAAUUAAAGAAUAAUAAUAAUUCUAAUUCAAAUGAAGAGGCUGUUUCAGUGGUUAGAGGAGAGAGAAAGAGAAGAGAGAGAGAGAGAGGGUGGGGGCGAGGCUCCGCUCAUCUCUCACCUCACCCCAUUCCCAAUUCUCUCUCUCUCCUCUUUCUCUCUCCUCUCUCCUCUCUCCUCUCUCUCUCUAGAGGGACCCCUUCGUCUCCUCUCUCUCUCUCUUCUUCUUCUUCUACUUUCUCGCUCUUAGUAUAUAUCUAUCUAUAUGUAUAGCAACUAACGAACUCAAAGGGGGGGUGGGGGGGAGAUGACCUAGAUUUUCGAAGGUUUCAAGUUUCCGUUAUCUCUCCUCCUCUCUCUCUCUGCUCAAAAUCGAUCAUCAAAAUCUAUCAUUAAAAGAAGAAUUUUCGGUAAUUUUCUCGACCUUUUAUGUGUUUUUUUGUUUGGAUUUUUUGUUUUUAGGUGAUAAUUGUUUGUAUUGGACGGGGAAGUGUGGUUCGUGUGCAAUGUGGCGAUCUCUGGGGCUAAUUCUUGUAUAAGAUGCUGAGUUUCUGAAAAUAUUAAUUUUCUUGUGCUUUCCCUAAUUUUCCGGCUGAUGUUGACCUUAUUAGCAUUUAUUUCAUUUUUUUACUUUGGUAAAAAUUUGUUUUUUUUGUUUGGGUGGGGGGCGCUGCAAAUAUUUGUUGAUCAGGUAAUUUGUGCAAUAUCUCCGAAGCAUUUGUUUUAAAUUUGGUAAAAGAGAAUAGAUGAAAAUGUGUAGGGAUUUUUGAACCCAUAAAUGUUGAUUGGUACCAUUCAAUCCUUAACAUUCGAUUCUUAUGACUUAAGUUACUCUAAAAUCAAUUAAAUUGGCGAUUUUGUUAAAUUUAACCAUUGUAAACGAUUUUUGGUUGGUGGAAUUGCAAUUUGUUAACUUUUAUUUGCAGUAAAAUCUCUCCCCUGAUCGAGAUAUCCUCUGUUUCUCCAAUCAAAAAAAAAAAUGGAGGGUCUCUUUCAAUAUGGCCUAUAAUUAAGGUGGUCUCCAUAAAUUUGAUCCCCAACAAAAAAAAAAAAAAAAUCAUUUUACUUCAUAAAGUUUAUUUAGAAAAUUCUUAUUACCCGUUCCUUCUACUUGCACAAAAAACAAUAUAUUUUUCCAAUAUAUGAGGCUUACAUUUCUUUUGGUCAUUAGGUUUAUUUAUUGUAUUACGGCUGAAUGAGUAAUUCAAUUUGUUAUCUGCUGUAGAUUGGUUGAGAUGAUGGGGAGUUUCCUUUCAAGGGCCCUUCUGUAAGCAAAUUCUAAGAUGAACUAAUUCUCUUUUUAUUGCUAUUUAUUUAGUUUUAUAGACACAAGUAAUGAAUUAGGGCUUCUUCGAUUACUCUUCACACAUAAGAGAGCCUAAAUAAGAUUUAAACAAGCUUUCUAAUUUCCAGGUUGGCCUUUGGUUACGCUUAUCCGGCCUACCAAUGCUACAAAACAGUCGAGUUGAACAAGCCCGAGAUUCAACAGCUCAUUUUUUGGUGUCAGUAUUGGUAUGCUCUUACAGUUCCCUGGAAAUCAUUUUAAACCUUUCUUACUUGACGCUUAGAUUCCAAAUGAUAUUUCUUUUGGUUCUGUCCAUUCUUUAGGAUUUUAGUUGCUUUAUUGACCGUUUUGGAGCGAUUCACCGAUGCUUUUGUCUCAUGGUAUGUCUGAUUAGUGGCCCAAAGAUGGUUCUCUUUCUUUUCUCUCAUCCUGCAUUUUUUUCUUUUUCCAAUUUGUUCACAGCUUUGUAUAUUUAUUUACCUGCCUGCAGGUUACCAAUGUAUAAUGAAGCAAAGCUGGCAUUUUUUAUAUACUUAUGGUAUCCUAAAACAAUGGUACUUUAUUUCUCUUUGGUUUUAUACAGAGUAUCUUUUUUUUUAAAGUCAAGAUUUGGUUUUUAUGAUUGAUUAUGUUUGCAACAGGGAACAACGUACAUCUAUGAAACCUUCUUCAGGCCAUAUAUUUCGCGGCAUGAGAAUGAUAUUGAUCGCAACUUGCUUGAGCUAAGAGCUAGAGCAUGUGAUGUGGUUGUGCUCUAUUGGCAAAAGGCUACUAGCUAUGGCCAAACUACCUUUUUCGAUGUGUUACAGUAUGUUGCUUUACAGUCUUCUUCGCUGACCUCAAGAUCGGGAUCCGCUCAGGUACUAAUUGAGCAUCAAUACUUCUUCUCUUUGCACUUUUCGCCUUUUGUGUAUAUGUUACUUGUUCAUCAUGUUAAAGCCUCUUCCUCUUCUUCUUUACUGCUGCUGCUUGUUGUUAGUUCUGAAUGCUAUCUUUGCGCAUGCCACUAGUGACUUAUAGAGGGGCAGUUUUAUUUUAGUUGUAUUAUUUAACCUUACAUCUUGGUUGAGUCCAAAUUAUAUCCUCCUUGGAUAGUCUUUGAACAUCUUUAGAAGCGGUAUUAAUAAAAUUACUGUCCGUGCGAGCAUUAAAGGACACAAAAUGAUAUUAUUUCUUCGUCCUGAAUUUUAAGGCUCAUUUUUUGGUUCUGAUUUCACAUGAAUACUAGGCUUUUGGUUGUUUCGCUAUAUUUGUUAUUUUUUGGUUCUAUUUCUUGAAGCCUAUCAAGUUACUAGCACUAGGUGGGCUAGUCAGGUAUUAUAGUGACUACCAAGUAGACACAGCAGCACGUCUGUCUUUCCUUCAGAUGAAUACUUUCUGGAAAUCCACUAUUAUUUUCAUAGAUAUAUUGUUUCAUGAUCACAGAGCUUGAGGAAUGUAAAAAUGUUAUUUUGGUAGCAAGAUGGUAUGAGCUCAAUACUAUGCUAGGUUUAUUUCAAAAAUAAAUAACCAUAAAUCCUAUUUAAGUGAUGUUUACUAUAUAAUCUAGUUACAGUUAAUAUUUUUUAAAAGAUACUCGGAACUUGAUGAAACAACUCAUUUUCACACCCUUGGCAAUGUCAGCAAAAGGAACAGCAGUACCGGAGAGCAGUAUCAUUGCCAUCCAGUCAGCCCCCAGCACCGGCUUCCCAGCCGGCGGAAGAGCCCACAACAACCACCGCUUCCAACCCUAGGCUGAUCCGGCGGCUGGAGCCCUUUAAAGCAAAACCAAUUACACAUCCCGCUCAGCCACAAGAACCUGCAGCAGCUGCUGACCCACCAGCCGAUCCUGCUGCUGAACCUCCCACUUCAAAAAGCGUUUCCGAUCUCCCCAGCAUCGAAGCCACCACUACUAGCCAACCCAUAGAUGAAGCUGAAGCAGACGAGGAAAUGCCAGUCGACGAGGAGGCCGAAGCCGAGGGCAAAGAAGAUGGCAAAAGUCCGGAGACGCCGAUAGAGGAGACCAUCCGCACGACUCGUUAUAGGUUGAGAAAGCGAGUUGCCACCACCGCCAUUCCUUCGGCCGGUAAUUAGCUUCUGUGUUCUUUCGUUUGCAGGGCCUCUGCUGUUUUCAUUCUCCGGAGCUUGUUUGACUACGAGUGAAUUUGUGUUAUUCAUCAGUGCCGAUGAUGCCAGGGAGAAAUGCAAAGGAUUUUAUGAGAGCUUCUUUCCUUUUUAAUUGAGUAUAUAUACAUCAAAUAAGGUUUGAUGAAUGGUAAUAAGGAAUUCUUUGUAAAAUUGUUUAAAUAUAAUUUUUCCUUGGCAUUAGCACUUGCGUUGCUUGGAGAAAAGAAAUGUUGGUUGCUUGGUUUGUUUAGACUCCGGAGUUGAAUUUUUCCCUCAUUCGUAACGCAUGUAAAUAAAUAGAAGGAUGUUAUGUUCAUAUUUUAGGAAAAUAAGUAUGUUUCUUUAUUGAUAAUAUUGGUAGGCGAUUGGUGCAUAUUCUCCGACUUUAAUUCUCACGUAAUCCUUUUAACUUUUGAGGUUCUAAGUGAUUUUUUUUUUUCUCCCAAUGAGAGAAAGAAGUGAAACGGGGACCAGGCUAAGCAGUGAUUGUUCUACCUAAGACGACAUAUAUGAGGCGCUGAAUUGCCAACUUCUAAGACGGUAAUAUAGAUAAUUUUCUGAGGAUAAUAAAUACAAUUGGCGAUCGACAAACACUUAUUUCCGAGAAAUAAUCUCCACGGAAAGACACAAAAACCCAAGUUGUUGAAAUAGUACAUUAAGCCCGAAAUUAACUCCAGACCAUGAUUGAUGAGACUGUGGCAGUGUGGGUCAAGCAACGGAGUUAACAUACAUUCCUUAAUAAACGAAUAACUUAGAAAAGGAAAAAAAAAAAAAAAAAAAAAGGAAACAAAUGAAAAAAUGACUACUUUCACACUCAUCUACAAUCACCAACAGAGGUCAGAAACGUAAUUGUAAUAUGCAUAGAAAACCCUCACCUAGCAUAAGGGACUUAAAUCAAUGGUUUCAUCCGCUUCAGAACAAUUUGGUGACUCCCUAAUUAAAGAUAAUAAAGAGUUUGAUGAUGAUGAUAAUGAAAAAAAUAAAUAAGAAACAAAAAGGGAAUGAAAGAACAAUAUCCAAUGCAACUCUGAAUACUAGAAUCUAUAAAGAAACUAUUGAUAAAAUGGAAGCAUUUACACAAGAAAAACAAAUGUUAAAAGAAUUCACAACCCAAUAAUUGAAAACUAUAGAACUAAUAAAAGAGACAAUGAAUUUAGAAACUAUUUUAGGGGGUUAAGGAUUGAUGAAUAAACCCCAGCCCCGAUGCCUUCUUCCUUUUUAACUCUGCAGCCACCUUCUGUGCUCUGUACACCCCUUUGUCAUCUGCACGAGGACGGCAGCUACAAGUAAACACUAAAAGGCUCCCACUGUUAAUCCUAUCUAUUUUUGGUGUAGGUUGCUAUCUAUGACACUGUUGAUAGUAGAUGAUUCCGAUCCUUUAAUGCCAAACUGAAAUAGUUUGUCGUUAAGGAACUAAAAUGGUGCUUAUAUUUACUUACUUCCAAACAAGUAAAUUAAUUACAUCAGCAAUACCUAUCAAAAAUUUCAACAGAAAUUACACAUCAGUAGACAUCGGUAAUACCUAUCAAAAGUCCAACAGAAUUUACACAUCAGUAGAUAAAGUACUUUAACUCGGAUUAAUGAUGAAGUUGUCUGCAAAAAUAUGAAAAAGAACCAUGCAUGCUGCCAAUCAUUAAUACAAAGACUAAGGUAGAAAGUUACAGCGAGGGUGAAAUUGAGAAUAAAAGUUGUCAGUUCAAAGUUUAUGUGUUAAAAACUAAAUGGAACCAGGUUUAAUGUAUCAAAAAAGACCUAAUUGAACGAACAUUUCUCUAAGAACUCGCAAUUGGUUCAACUAUCCAAAAUCUAGCAAACUUCCUAUGUACGGUGAUUCUAACAUCUUUUUUUAGUUUGAGCUCCAAUUAGGCUUGAAACUUGCACUAUACAAAGUCUACUUAAAAUAAGAGAAACAUUGUUUGCUAUUCGGAUUAGGCAAGAUAUGAACGUAUUUUCGUACAACCAGCAUUACAAAAGAAACAAAAGAAAUGAACCAGAAAAAAUUGGGAGUGGAUACUUUCUAGCACAAUAACUAGUAUAUCCCCAAAAUGGUAUAUGAUUCUGUCAUUUAUAAUCUAAAUGCAUGUUAAUUAUGUUAAUGAGAAAGAUAUGCAUGUUUGAUGUCAUACAUUUCUAGCUUGUUUUUCUUAGUUUCCUAUGAUAACAGAAGAAACCAAUAAGAGAGAGAGAGAGAGAGAGUAAAGGAUACAUUUAAGUUUCCCAAAUAUCCGUCUCCCUGUAACUGAUGUCUGAUUGGAGCCAGUAAUCAGAACCAGUCUGCAGCAAAUUAGGAGACAAGUAUACAUUAAACAAUAGUAACCUUACGCAUCAGAAACAACUUACCAGAUUUCUCUGCUGUAGAAACUUACAUCAGCAUUUGAAGGGACAAUUUGGACAAUCCCAUUGGAACACUCUUGUGAGGCAGCUGAAUCCGAAGAACUCUGGUGCAUGGCUGGGUCUUGUCGGCCCUCUCCGAAUGUCCUGCUUGAUGUAGCAUUCUCAUGGCUACGAUUCGAGGCAUCAUUUUUCUCUUCAUCAUUACUGCAAGCAAAAUAAGGGCCUCGAUUAGAAUGAGUGCCUGUUUUGACUUCGCUUGUGUAACAACUUCUCCACUCCAUAAAACGGAGGCUUCAAUAAACUUGGCAUUUGGCUAAUACAUCUAGAGCUUUUGCUGUGACAAAAAACUAAAAUGAGCUUUUAGGUCCAAUAUGCAGAAAAUUCAAUUUUAAUAGAAAAGAAGUAAGUGAUUUUUCAAGCAACUCUACUUAAACGUUACCUAAUUUAACAGGCCCUCGGCACUUAAGAGAAUGUGUCCCAAGUUCUUAUAAUGGCUAAAAAAGCAUAAUUUACCUGAUUAGAUAGCAUCUGAUGGGCCCAAGUGAGCUUCUCAAGACCAUUCGAUAAUGGUUUGGCGGAAAAUCAGCACCCUAUUGUAGAAAAAGAUUGUCAGUACAUAUCCUAGCGCAUAGGUGAAUAAACUCAUUAGCAAGCUCACCUUCCCCCCCUCACAAGGAUCAGGAACUUCAAUCGAAGUUCCAUGAGGAGCAUUUAUUGCAAUAACAAUAUCAUCCUGCACGCACAGGAAACUAAUGUAACAUCUAGGAAAGUAAACUAUAGAAUUGCACGAGGGAUACUAAACUUCUUAAGAGUUCACAAUUUGGUCGCCAAGCUUCCAAUUGUUACAAUUGGGAUCCUAAUGUAUCCAUUCCACAGCAACCUUAUGCUUUUCAUUAGAUUCCUCAGUUAAACUAGAUAAAAAUGCCUACUUAAACGUCAUAUCCAAAAGGUAGCUACAUGAUAGUUAGAAGCUGACAAUUACAUAAACAAUUUUGAUUAUUUUAUUAGAGUAAUAUACCGAAAAGGUAAUAUUGCAAUUAAGUGUGAUAGUUAGGCCCCAGUUGUAACGACUGAAAAGUUUGAGUGCCAAAUCUAAACUAAGCAAAAAGAUUGAACACCCUUGAUGCCAUUGACCAAAAAUAGAAGCUAAUUGACUGGCUUCGAAAAAGCAGACAAUAACAAACCUGAAACUCUGGAAUACUUUUAAUAUCUUCCUUAGUCAGAUAGAGCCAUCUAUACAGAUUGCCAGCUAUUAAAUUCCCAUUAAAGAAGUUAAAACCAAAAUAAAAACAGAAUGGCAAGAUCAAAUAAAUUUACUUUCUACUGUUCUCUUCUUCAGUCAAGCGACAAAGAUUCUCUUGCAUGUCUCUGAAAACAACAAACAAAUGUUAAUUAAGCAAAAGAAAGAAACAAAGCAUUGUUCACUCCUAAGAACGCACCUUAUCAUGUCAUCCAGCCUGUGCUCUUCAUUACAGAGAGUUGCGACUUGAGCCUACAAAAUAGAUCAAUCCCAAAAGAUAAAUGAAAAAUAGUUCAAUCGUAAAAGAAAAGAAAAUAGUGAUAACAAUAAUGAAAGGUAAAAUGUCAAAACCAUCUUCCUGCUUAUAUACGCUGGAUUUGCUGAUGAAUUCAUAAAACAAGUAAUUUCUCAAAGUGGCUUAGAUUACUAAGUUCAAACUAGCAUCACUAAUAGAGUAAUAUGCAUUUCUAGGUAACAUUACUGACAAUGUCCAUAAAAGAUAUAACAACAAUAGAGGCAAAUCAUGCUAUGUGCGAAUACCUAUCCAUGGCCAGUUAGACAGAUUUUCAAUUGCUAGGUUGAUUCUAAAAAGUACAUAUAUUUUGGAGAAAUUAAGUAACAAUGAUACCAAAAAAGUAAGCAACAACUGAUAGAAAUCUUUCUUUUUUUGUACUGCUUCAUUCAUUAGGAAACUAAUAGAAAUCUUAAUACCAAAAAAGGAUGUAAACAUUGGCACCAUCCUAGAUCUCUCUUUUUCCCCAAAAUGUUGAAUCACUAAAGACAAAAUAGUCGUCAAACUAAAAAAAAAAAUGGUCGUCGAAGUUUCACCGGCUAGCCAAAACUAUGUUAAAAAUGAACAGAUAAUUAGUUAGUAAGUGGUCGUGGUAGGGUGGGAGGUCAUUGUAGUCAUAGCGAUGUUAGCAGCAAGGCAAACAGUGUUGGCGGCACAGUAAGGCAACAAUAAUUGAUGGUGGUGUUGCUGAAGCAGAGUGACAGCACCAACGGCAAAUGUAGUAAUGGCAGUAGAUGAGGAAAGACAUAAUAGGUGGUGGAUUAGGUGGAGCUACAAUGCUACAUGUAACCUUGUUCAUUUGUUUUCAAGUUUCGCACAACCUCCAAAACCAAACUGAAAAUCAGAUGUUCAAAUUGAUACAGAUAAAAACUGGAUCUAACACCAAUUCGAAAAUGAAACACUUAGUUUGUGCUUAGAAUAGGUCUUACUUUAGAGGAUUGGCUUAUAUUGACGGAACUAGCUAAUAGUGUAAAAUUGUUCAUCUGUGAAUCAUUUUUAGGCUAAAAUACAGAAAACCCCCUAUAAAUAUUCAUUUUCUGCAAAGCCACCGAAAUUGUCAAAAUUGAAACUCUAGAAGCAUACAAGCCAAGAUCUACCAUUCUACCUAGAAAUUGCAAUGGACUUCCAACUCUCAGGAGACGAACACUUUUGAGAUAUUUGAUUACCCAUAGAAUGUGAAUAAGAAUGGGAAUUCCUUAGACCAUACAACAAUAGAAACCACUCAUCACUACUCUCAUCCCAUGAUCGGAGACCCCCUAGCCAAUCACACCAAAAGAUGAGAUGACGAAAAGGAAGUUUGGCAGCGAAAUAAUAACCGAGUUUGUAUCAUGAUUAUUAAUUCUAUGCCGGCAUUAAUGGAAUAAGUACAAAGACAUUUAGACGUGCAAAUUGAUGACCAUUUCAUAUAAUCUCAUUGGUUGAUGUCAUAACUUAUAACUAUCAAUGUCUUGGUAAUCACUUGUUUGGCCGCCUUGUUGACUGAAUUUAGAGAAGUUUCAUUCACAAAAACAUGCAUCUCUUGGGUCAUCCAUAUCUCUUCGCUAGCUUGGCACUUGUUUCCUCCGUUGAAGCCUCGACCACCGGGAAUGCCUGACAUCCGUCCAUAAGAUCUCAACAUUGAGUAGGUGGAGGCAAAGUCGUGAGCUUCGGCCAUACAAAAGCUUGUGACCUCAUCUCAUAGUCCAUACCGGGUGCAACACGCUGCAACGAUUUACCGGUACGAUGGUGUUUCAGCCAUACAUUGGAUCUCGAUCAGUAGCACCACUUACAUCAGGUUCGCUAAGUUUACGCUUCGAAUUCGGUCCUACCAAACACGUCCUUGCGAGUUCGGCCUUUCCAAUCAUACAUUUGGUUUCUUGACAUGGUCACAAGAAUACAUUCAUCUAGGCACAAGAAAAAUUAAUGAUGGCGUUUCGUUAAGAAGAGCGAAAAAAUUACUAAAGUCACAGCAAUUAAUGAAGGUCCGACACUCCCCCAGGCUUCUAUAAGAAUAUGGAAUCUAUAGAUCUUACGUAGGAGGAACGAAAGAGCUUGAAGGCACUAUCUUGGGGAUGAUGUAUAUGCACUAGAGGCAUGACCCAAAAAUCAAGAACUUCAUUGUUCCAAAAAGUGGCUAUUGUAGUCAAUACACAAUCACAUGCACUUACAUAUACGGUUGAUACGCCAAUACAGUCUUUCAAUUGCUCUGCAAGUGUUGCCUUUGCACAGAGCCUCAAUGACAUGCAGUUUAAUACACUAGCAACCCAUCAAUAAUGUAUCAAUUUUAAUUGCGUUGAACUAAAUAAUUUAAAGUUAAGAUUGUUAGUCCUACAACUAACCAGAAAUAAAACAGACUAAUAAGAUGUAUCUAGUAGUGAAUUGCUUGAUGUGAGACCGUAGAAACACAGAAUAUCCUAUUCUCUUGAGUAUAUGCGUCGACAAAAACUAUUUUAAUAAGAGAAACCAAUAUAGAAGGAAAGAAAUUAAAAGAAGAAUGUGAAUAAGCCAUUCAUUAAAUCAAAUAUAAUAUUCCAAUUUGUAAGCUAGUGGAGUAAUACUUCCAACUUUUUGAUAGAUUAAAAAGUUGAAAUUUGAUUACUUAAAAUCAUUUGCUCCAUAGAUAAUCACAUGCGGUCAAUCUGCAACCAAGCUCAUUUCAACACUUACUUAAUAAGAAAGCAACUUUGAGAAUUCAUUUAGAUUUGGAACUAUGAGCUCUAUCAUCUUCUAAAAUUAUUUAAUAUUAGAACAAAUUUCGGAUAUAUGCCAUAGAUUAGUGACAACGAAAUUACUAUAGCAAUGGGAACAACUAAAUAGCAAGUAAAUUACAUUAAACAACAACAGAAAAUUUCCGGCAUGGACUUAAAAUUUAAUGACUGUGCGCAUUAAAAUCUUAAUACGAAUAUGCUAGAAGACUAUGCUAAUUACUUCAUGCCAAAAGAAACACGACUACAAGCAAAUUCCUUCCAUUCAGAUGCAUUAGAUAUUAGACUGAAAGUAUUCAAAAAUGCAUACUGCACCUUUAAUACAGUAUUUUGAUCAUACAACUCCUUUGGCCUUAGCAUGUCAAGUCCCCUAUUCACAAAAUAUUUGUAAGAAACUAAAGUAUUCGAACAUAAUCAAGAAGAGGAUAGUAAAAAGUGACAGGGCAAUUACUUCCGAGAGACUGUAUUCUUCAACGAUUUCUCUAUCAAUCCUACUCCUUCAAGAACAUUUGUUAUAUCAUAAAUCCUCCUCUUCUGGACCUGUCAAAGCAAUAGACAAUUAGCAAGUGAAUGCCUUCAUAAAACUCAACACAAAUGCAUAGUGGCUAUUGGCCAAACAUAAAAGGAGCUUUUCCGCAUAUAUACCUGCAAAAUCAUUUAUCAAUGUAUCCUAGCAAAAUCCGAAUUGUCAUGUAAACCCUUCAAUAUGCAAUUUCUCAUAAAAGCGCCCUCAUAUUAACUCAAGGAUUCAUCCAACACAGGAGGUAAGUUAAUAUAUUGCAGAACAACUGAAACUUUACCUUCAAAACAUCCGCUACUCUAUUCAAGUCAAGAAAUCCAUCCUCUGAUUGGUGAAGCAGAGUAAUAAACCUUUUGGUCAACAAGCCUGUCAAGCAAUAACAAGUAUCUCUAAACACCAAGGUUGCAGCAAAAAGACAAAAGAUUAACUAAAUAAUCAAUGACAAAAUUCCACAAUUGAGUCAAUAGAAGCUUUACCUAAAGAACAUUCAUAUCGGCAAUUGUUAGGUGACCGCACUUCAUUUGCAGCAACGCCUGAAAAUAGGAAUACUUGUCAUCGUGACCUUAUGUUAUCCAAAUGACUAUCAAACUAGCAUAUUUAACCUCUUGUCUAAGUAGGUGCCUAAUUGGUGAGCGUAGUCCUAGAUCCAUAAAUGUUACCUUCUAAUGGUCCAUGAGUGUCUGGCACAAAACUUUGAUGUUCUAAAGGUUUUGGCUCCCCUUGAAACAUUGCUUCUGGGCCAGUUGAAAGUACAUUAAAGGUAGCUUCCUCUUCAUGCCUUUCAACCUCUAAGUAACCAGUCUCAACUUUGAUUUUUCCUGCUCCUUUUAUCUGAAAAGUAGCCAGAUUUUAGCAACAACAGAAUUGAUAUGAAGAACUCAGCAUUACAAAUACACCAUUAGAAGAUUAUUGCAAAUUAAAAAUACUAUUCUACGGGCAGUAACCAAGAGCAGUAUGUAUAGAACCAAAAUAUAAGCAAGCGGCCAAACGAAAAAGUAAAGCAUAUAAUAAAUUUGCUUUGGAGAAGAAACAAGGAUUUAUGACAACAAUAAAUUAGAUACAUGAUGCAUUGCUUGGCAACAAAGCAGCACUUAGUGUAACAUGAUAAUUAGCUCAUAAUGAAUGCUACAAACUAUUGUUGAAGUCAUCAAGCGCCAAAUUAUAAGCAUAUAUCAUCAAGGUUGAUAUCUCAACUAUAAAGAACUUCUUCUGUAAAUCCUCACAUAAAAAAUUCAAAAAAUGCCAAUGCUGCAUUAGUGGCACUGUGGCGGCACAUAGAUUCACACUAAGAUGCCAUAUGGGAUCCCUUUAUGCAGAUAGGUCACAGAUACCUUGUCCGCAUUUUGGUACAUGUGGAUCCCUCCAUGCAAAAAGAGAUUAAACGACAACCAUAGAGAUAACGAACCUAGUCAGGAACCAAAAGGACAAUAUAAGGAAGGAUGGAAUUGGAAAGGCGAAUUUGGCAUGCUCACUCAUAAAUCAAGUACGAGUGCAUGCUGCUAUGCAGGAAAAUGUCUUAUUCUCCUGCUAUUGAAUUUCUGCUGACACAUUUUUAGGAGACAUUAAAACACAUUAUUUGAGUACACUUCGAAUUUGCAUUUUCUUAUACCAACUGGUUUUGGAUUUUAUUAUUGUUGAAAAUAUAUUGAUUUUAUCAAAUUUAGGUGGACAUUUAGGCAAAAUCCAAUAGUUUAAGCUCACAUUUGCUGUGAAUUGACUUUGGAGAGUGAUCUAAAAGAUCCGCCAUCUUCAAGAUGCCUUCCACGACUUUAUGCAAAUCCCUAAUUACAACACUGAAUGAUCUCCAAUUAUUCAAGACUAAUCAAAUCCAACCUCAAUCAAACAUGAAACUAAAUCUCAAUGGAUUCAAUUCCACUUAAUUCCAGCAGAUCAAUUAGCUUCCAGUCCAGCUCGCUUGAAUUCCCAAAACUAAACAAAUCCAUCCAAUCAUAUCUAUUGACUCAAGUGUAACAAGCCUAUAAACUAUAAAAUCCCAAUUCAAGAGCUCGUGUAGCCACUCGCCAUCAAAAUUCCAGCACCACCUUUGAUCACCAUCCCGACCUAUUUUCCCAAAAAAACAAAUUAAUCGGGAAAAUAGGCCCAAAAAGUAAUCAAGAAGAUCCACGAAAAAAAACAAAGACAUUGUAACACAAGAACCGAAUUGGAACCAACAAGAAGGGCAAUGGAGGGGAAGCAACUUCCACUCACGGGGGUCUCGGGAGGAGGCCGCGGAGGAAACCUAUCGUCUUCGUCCUCCCCGGCGGCGGCAGUGGCGGCGGCGGCGGGGAAGAGCGGGAAGUGGCGGUUGGCCGCGGCGGGUCGCGGGAUGGGGCACGGCGACGGCGAUCGGAGGUGGAGAUGCGGCCCCGCCAUGGGAGUAGAGGAAGAGAGAGAGGAGGGGAGAGAGGGGUAGGGUUUUGAAGGGGAGAGAAAGAGGGAAAAAUGGAGAGAUACGGAGAGAGAGAGAGAGAGAGAGAGAGAGAGAGAGAGAGAGAGAGGGCGAGGGCGGGGGAGGUAGGGAGAGGGAAAAUAGAGGGCGUUUGGUUUGGCUUGAGAUACGACUUUGGGCUUUAUAAACGGACGGCUAGAGAUGGGCUCCGCUUCUGUUUUUCUUACGUCGGAAAGCCAUGGUAAUAUUCCGCGCACCAGGUGUAUCCCUCCGGCUCAUGCAUCACAUCUUUUGUCCGCCUCCAUGGAAGGAUUUUAGAGGCGUGGUGUAUAACAGUACCUCAACACCGGGUGCAGGGAGUAAGAUGAUGCGGGGGUAAAUAAUUAAGUUCGAAUCCGCACGCGCGCCCCGCCCUUUUACGCUGCGUGUGUGAGUGGGGGUUGGGGUGGGGUGUGGUGUGGUGGGUCACGUGAGCGGCGAGGGCGCGUUUCACGUGCACGGUGCACCCUGCUCACCUGGUGCCCUUUUCGCCGGUUACGUUAUGCGCGUAUGCGUUAGUUUUGCGGGAAUAUUCGUCUGUGAGCCAAGUCCACCACGUCAGCAAUUGACAGGUCACCACAUUGACCACCUCUAUUCUCUAGCCAAAAGUGCUUUAAAAUUGUGACAGGCGCGUUACUAAUGUAGUAUCUCAAAUCAAUAAAAUUUAUUUUUUCAGAAAUCAUCAAUCUCAUUGUAUUUUUUUCAAAAAAAAAAAAAAUGAUUAGCUGAAUAUUACUAAUGUGAUGUAGUAUAAUUCUUUCCUGUAGCCUAUCUCAACUUUCGCUUGCAAGAGUUGGUUGAAUUCCCAUAGACUAUUGGGGGAAUUGGGUCGCCAUAUUUUAAGAGAAGUAAAUAUAGAAUAUUUCUAAAUAUUAACUAUACUAUUUACUUUUGCAUCAAAUAUAAAAAAAAUAAGACUAAAAUAUUCUAAAAAUAAAUAGCACUGGUUACUUUUUUAUCGUUUUUGGGGAUGGGUCAUUUAAAAUGAUAACUAACACUGUUAAAUAUAAUCUAUGUCUUACAAAUAUAUCAUAGGAUAUCAGUAGCAAUGAUUAAUUUGGUCAAUACAACAGAAUUAUAAAAAUACAGGAUACAAUAAACUGUUAUAUUUAAUCAAGAAACUGAUUUUGUUACUCACAUAAAAUAAAGCCAAUAAUUUGCCUUGCCAAUAAGAAAACCAAUUUUGGGAAAAUAUUAAUUCGCUUUUAUAUAACCACAAGGCUUGCAUUUAAUCCCAGGGCUUUUUUUGCAAAUAGCCCCCUGACAAAUUUUAUUUGCAAAAAUAGCCCCGUUCAAAAAUUAUUUGCAAAAAUGGCCCGCCCCUGCCACGCCAGCGCCACGUCAGCGCCACGCGGGCAGGACGGGCCCAGAUAUUUAAGUCGAACACAGUGAACCAUUCACCGUGUUCAAUACAAAAUUUUUGUAUUGGACACGGUGAAUGGUUCACCGUGUCCAAUACAAAUACCCCAACAAUGGCUAAGUUGGAGGUAUUUGUAUUAGACACGAUGAACCAUUCACCGUGUCCAAUUAUUUGUAUUGGACACGGUGAAUGGUUCACCGUGUCCAAUACAAAUAUUUCGAUCUUAGCUAUUUUGUAUUGGACACGGUGAAUCAUUUACCGUGUCCAAUACAAAAACUUUAUAUUGAACACGGUGAAUGGUUCACCGUGUUCAACUUAACCAUCUGGCUCAGCCCCGCCCGCGUGGCGCUGACGUGGCGCUUGCGCGGCGGGAUCAGGGCCAUUUUUGCAAAUAAAUUUUUGACAGGGCCAAAUUUUAAAAAAAUUUUGUAAGAGGGCUAUUUGCAAAAAAAGCCCUUUAAUCCCAUGAAUCAUAAGAUUGGGGCCCUGUGAAGCCCGGUUUGAACAAAGCUAACGCUCUUAGGCUUGGCCCAUUUUAUGUCCUGAGCCUUUCAAGAACUGUAUUUUAUAAAUUUUCACUUACGUCCAAAAUAGCGUAACUUUUUUAAUAAUUAUUUUUAAAUAAUAAUACUAAAUAAUUAUUAUACAUAUGAAUCUCAAUAUAUAAAUAUUAGUAUCCUUAUGUCUUUGCUCCUGACAAAUUAUAUUUUGGCUUUUUCACACUCAUAAUUAUUUAGACCGUAUUUAUGUAUACAGAUCUUACCCCGGACCCACACCAAAUUGGAACAAGUUGAUUUUAGAUAAUCAAUUUUCGAUAGCAGAAAUAGACCUGAGAUUGAAUUCUGCUUCAAAGUCAUUUUAUUUGAUCAUGAAUAGAUACACCACUGUUGCUCUACGGGGAUCAUAUCUCGUAAUAAUUCUUAAAAAAUAAAGGAAAAAAAGAAAAACCAUAGAAGGGUACGGCCAUGUUAAAUUUUAAACUCCAAAUGCUCCACAUCUUUUCCUUUGGAUCACAUUAAACUUAACAUCGACGAUUUUUCAAAUUCGGUGAGUCGAUUUGGAUCGAGGCUGUGGAUUUACAUUUCGAAACUCUAAUGAGAAGUCUUUGAGUGAAGAGUGUAAAUUUUUUAAAUGUAUUAAGUGUAAUGCAGAAAAUAUAUAUAUAUAUAUAUAUAUAUAUAUAUAUAUAUAAAUAUAUAUAUAUAUAUAUAGUGAGCUACUAUGCUAUCGGAAACACGGAGCCUUCGUGCUUCCAGCUCGUUUUCGAUGUUGCGAUUUUCAAAUCGUCGAUCGGCUCCGUUAAACUUGAUCUAGAGUAUUUGGAGUACCUAGAAAAUAAAUUUUAUUAUUUUUCGAUAUCAUCUAAGGGGCUCAAAAUCAACGGCUGAAAAUAAAAAUCUUAUAAAAUGUAAUAAUAUGACAUUAAAAUUUUAAAUCAAAGAUAUUGAUCUUGUUUUAUAUAGUAUAAAGAAUUUUCUAUCAAAAUUUCACGUGAUUUGGAUAUUUCUACACCGUUAAACUUGCAAACGGCUCACUACGACCAUUGAAAUUUGUUGAUUUUGAGCCCCUACGAUCACUAGGCAAAUGAUAUCGAAAAAUAAUGACAUUUAUUUUCUAGGUACUUCAAAUACUCUAGAUCAAGUUUAACGGAGCCGAUCAACGAUUCGAAAGUCGCAACAUCGAAAACGAGCUGGAAGCACGGAAGGCUCCGUGCUUCCGAUAGCAUAGUAGCCUCACUCUAUAUAUAUAUAUAUAUAUAUAUAUAUAGUGUUGAAAGAAAUUGUUAGAUAUCCUUAUUAUUAUUGAAAGUGGUGUUGAAGUAUUAAUUAGAGAGCACUAGAAAGUUUCACGGGAGUGUAAGAAUUUGGUGGCUGAUUAUAGAUGGAUUAGAUGUUAAUUAAUUAUGCGGCUAAUUGGUUAACUAAAUAUGAUGGAGCUAAUAAUGAGGAUAUAAUAUAAGAUAAUUUGGGGAGCAUGUUGUUGUACCCUACACUUGGAUAGGGACAUGGGUGAUUAAUGUUUUGUUCUCCUGCUGUGGGAGCUAAUGCCUAAUUAAUGGGCAGUGUUUUAAUUUUUUUUAAUGUUUUUUUUUUCGGACCUUUUUGUGAUCCGAAUGGUCGUUUUGAUCAAUGCAAGUAUGCUUAAAAAAAAAGUGUUAUGAAGCCGAGUGGGUUACGUGACCAAAUGCGAUAAGUGUAGUUGAUAGAAUAUGAUCACGGAGACAAGUGUAGCCAAACACAAAAAAAAAGGUGGCGUAAACAAACUCCACCCACUACAAACCAGCCACGUGUCCACUUACUAAAAGUUGCUUAAUAUACAAGUCAAAGGGCCAUUAGUCACUGCGUCAGGUCUAAAAGAUUAAAAUAAUAUAUGUUUUAUAUUUUAUAGUAAAAUUAUAAAAACAUAUUGUAAUAUAUAAAAUAUAAUAUUACAUACGAAAUAAACAAAAUAUUAUUUUUACCAUAUUGUUUCACCUAUUAAUAACGUAAAAUCUUUUAGAAUUCCAGAAAGUCCCAAUUAGUAUUUUUUUCUUUUACUAUUAUUAUUAUUAUUAUUAUUAUUAUUAUGUUCGUAUACAUACAUAUCCAAAGAGUAAAAAAAAGAACUCAAAUGUAAAUUCUUAACUCCACGUAAUGUGGGACCCACAUGUCAGUGACAAUAAUAUAUAGUUACGUGUAGCAGUAACAUUGGAGUUUUGACGGGUUAUAAAGCGAUACGCCGACGCUGCUGUGAAUUGUGAUGAGGUGGAAAAGGGCGUCCCGUGAAGCCGACCACGUCCACGUGUCGCGCGCCAAAUCCCGCGGGUGGCGCGUGGCGGGUGGCAGGUGCGCCUCUCUCUCUCUCCCUCCCUCUAACAUUUUCUUUUUUCUAACUUAAUUUCUCUCUCUAUCCUUUUCUCUCCUUUGGCUUUCUCUCUCUCCGUUUUAUUUAUUUAUUUUUUUUAUUUUUUACUUUAUCCUCUAGUCUUUUCUCCCUGGUACAUUCGCCCAUUCACACACACACACACCAAAAAAAUAGCUAAUAUAUAUAUAUUUUUUGAUAUAGAUAGCAUGCUAUUCGUUUCGUUUAUUUUAUUUAGAAAUAAACUUAGCUGGAAAUGUGAAUCAAUUAUGAUUCGAACUUGAAAUUUUGGACACCAACCACCAAGUCCUUUGUCGCUUACUCUAAAAACGGUUGGUAACUAACAUUACAUUAGAAAACCCUCAAAGUGGAGAAAUUUGUAAAUCACACUAUUUUGAUCGUAUAUAUACAGUUUUGUUUAUAAUUAGAUUUUUUUUUUGAGACACAAAUUUUAAAGUAUUGUAAAAAAAUCUAACAAUUAAAAUGAGAUCGACAGAUGUUGUGAAAUAUAUUAAGAGCACAAACAGUCUCCUGCUUAAUAGUUUAAAUCAGUCCAUAAAAUCAAUUAUAAUAGCUAAACGAGCGAGCAGUUGUGUUUAAUAUUAAUUUAUACAUUAUUAUUAUAUGAGUCCGGCUCGGAUACUUCUAAUAGCACAAAAUAUUUGGUGCUAUCAAGUUUUUCAAUGUUAAAUUCAACCCUUUGGCUAUUUUUAUCCGUUAGGACAUACUAUUUAACAUCUGCUCAUUCAAUCCUAAAAGACCACUAUUAAUUAUCCUAACCGUACAUCCCUUCAUCCAACGGUAAAAAAUUAAAUAGCACCAAUAAUUUAAUACUAUUAAAAGCAUUCCAACAUAAUUCAUUAUUAUAUAUUAUUAUUAAAUUUAACUUAUUAGAAAAGUUGA
rnacentral:lncRNA from 1 species